rnacentral:rRNA from 1 species
UACGUAGGGGGCAAGCGUUGUCCGGAUUUAUUGGGCGUAAAGGGCGCGUAGGCGGCGGGGUAAGUCGGGUGUCAAAUCUCAGAGCUCAACUCUGAAACUGCACUCGAUACUGCUCUGCUUGAGGACUGGAGAGGAGACUGGAAUUCACGGUGUAGCAGUGAAAUGCGUAGAUAUCGUGAGGAAGACCAGUGGCGAAGGCGGGUCUCUGGACAGUUCCUGACGCUGAGGCGCGAAGGCCAGGGGAGCAAACGGG